rnacentral:rRNA from 1 species
AGAGUUUGAUCCUGGCUCAGAACGAACGCUGGCGGCGUGCCUAAUACAUGCAAGUCGAACGAGAAAGUGGCUUCGGCCAUGAGUAAAGUGGCAGACGGGUGAGUAAUACAUAGGUAAUCUCCCCUUGAGAUAGGGAUAACCUUCCGAAAGGAGGGCUAAUACCGAAUAAGACCACAGUUACUACGGUAACAGGGGUCAAA